UGUUUUGCAACGUUUCCCUUGUUCCUGUAUUAAUAUUAUUGGUUUUAAUACUUCUGUAUACAAUGUUUAACUCUAUCGAAGCUAAAAGAACUCAUAAACGGUUCAUGUUUAGAUGCGUUCUAAAGCUAACUUGCUGUACUAAUUGAUCGUUGACAUUUUAUCUUAAUACGAAUGCAACAUAUUAACAUUUUAAGAGACUUGAACAUUUCUGCCUCAGUUUCCAUCAAAUUUGCCUAUGCAAAUUCAUCUGCCUCGGACAAAGAGUCAUAAACCAUGAGGCAGAGAAGUUAGUUUCUAACUGAUUAACUUUCAAUGGAGGGUGAAUCCGAACCCACCCCAUAAAGCUUGUUCAAAGCAAUUCCCUCUCUCUCUCUUAACUGGCAGCGCUCUAGAAAAAAAACUUUCUCUUGAACCAUACUCUCUCUUUUAACCGCAACUCUCUGGAACCAUGCCCUCUGAAACCAACCUUCUUUAACUAGGGCGCUCUACAACGGCCUAAAAACGAGACCUAAGCAGAGAAACCUCCAAGAAAACAGGCGGAGACCCAAACGGAAAGGGUUAAUCGCACAGCUCGGACAUUUCACAUCUCAGAUACCAUCUUUCCUUUAUUUUCCAUUGAGAGUCUAGUUAAGUUAGUGCGUCGCAAAUCAGUGGUCAGCACAACUGGCCCCUUUGGCCGCUUCAACUUCAAACACAGACUCAGCCCACUCCAAUCCUGGCAAGAACAAGGAACAACCAGCAGAACCACGUGCUCAACCAAGGGAGCUUCCUUAUGUGACCGUGUAUAGGAUAAGUGGUAGUGAUUGAUGUUGAUAACAACCAAUCAGGGGCCAGUGCUGCCUAUUUUAGAGCCGGUUGGCUGUGUUAGGUGAUGUGUCACCUCCAGCCCCGCCUUUCUUGUUCCGCGUUUGUUGACAUCUGUUUCAGCCUGGUUUUUCGUUGGUUUUCCUGUCGGUUGCCAUGGAGUUAAUGACUGCCACCCAUUCAGCUCGCUUGUAGCAUAAAUGGAGAUGACUAAUUCGUAAUACAUGAGUGUACUACUCCCGGCUUGGUAAGUUUCUUAUGUAGAGAUUAAAGGGGAAUGCUAGCGUGUGAUUUUGCAAACAGUAACCGUUUUGCAUGUGCAUAUCUCUUGUAGGAUUCUCCCUCUCUGUCCUGGGCGAUUAUAAAUAAAGAUCUAGCAUCUGUAACAUUACCCCGGUUGUGUUUGAAAGAUUCUGCUAUCCUGAGAUCUCUAGUGGAAAGAACUACUCCUGUUGUUUACUACUGCUGCCUGCUUCUACUAUCUGCUGCUGCUACAUUUACUGCUGCAGUUACUACUAGCUGCUACUGCUACCCGCUACUACUAUCUGCUGAUGCUACAUUCACUGCUGCAGUUACUACUAGCUGCUACUGCUACCCGCUACUACUAUCUGCUGCUGCUACAUUUACUGUUGCAGUUACUACUAGCUGCUACUGCUAUCCGCUACUACUAUCUGCUUGCUGCUACUUUACUGUUGCAGUUACUGCUAACUGCUACGACUAACUGUUACCUGCUCUAUUUACUGCUGUUGUUACUACGACCUGCUACUACUAUCUCCUAUUGCUACUGUUAUAUAAUUUGUGAUUUUUGUUCUGUUUGGUUGUGUGAUUCGGUGUGCAAAAGAGUGAGUUGUGUUCUGUGUGAAUCUUGCUUUUCUAUAGCGAAACUACAGAAGCUGUAUUUGGUUUUUCUUUUCUUGUGUUUGGUUUGUUGUUUGUUUUACUCUUGUAUAAUUUAUCUCGUAUAUUGAUUUUGAUUUUCCUUGCAGGAACUGAGGUCCCAGGGGUGCAGGAUCUUGAGGUGGUGGUGGUGUCACUGCACUUGACAUUUUUGCUGUGGACGGUUUGGGAAGUGUGGAGUGUGUGGAUCUAGUGUGGUGUGUGGUGUGUGGUGUGUGUGUGUGUGUGUGUGUGUGUGUGUGUGUGUGUGUGUGUGUGUGUGUGUGUGGAAGUGUGCUUUUUGAACACAACGGAGCACUGGUGAUUCCCCCCCAUGUGUGACCUCAGCCCUGUAAGUUAGUUUAUUCAAUUUAUUUCCCCGGUUAAUUUCAUUUUCAUAUUUACUUUGUAAUAACGUUGUUGUCUUCUAUAAAUUUGUUUUCUUUUUUUUUAUUUUAUUUUACUGCAGUUGUGUGGAGGGAGGUGCUGGCAAAAUGUUCAGAGAAUGUUAUGUGACUAUUUUAAUCUGCCACAAAUUCUGAAAAUAAAUUUUGUACUUUUAUACUAUA